rnacentral:lncRNA from 1 species
GCCGGACUCGGGAUGGACUGAGCUGAACGUGCCGAGCCCCAAGGUCUCCCACCCUCCUCCUCCUCCUCCUCCAUGCAAGCCUCCAGGGAUGCCUGCUGCUGCUGCUGACUCUGAACUUAGCUCUGAUCCCCCUCAGAAGCGCUACAUGGGUGUGAGAGUGAAGAUGCCAGUGCGGGAGCUGCUGAGGAAAAUCCGACUUUCCAAAGGCUUGGACCCAGCUCCAGGCAAGGAGGCCUCAGCAGUGAAGAUGGCAGCCAGAGGAUCCUCAGGAAAAACAGCAGAGAAGAGGAGAUCUCACCCUUAUACAGAGAAACAGCUUAGACAGAGCAAGCAGAGCGCUGGGCAAAGCCCCAGAGGCUUGGAGGACCUCGACAUCCUGGUGGAGGUGCUGCAGGAGGAUCUGAACCAGAGCCAGCUCGGGGAGGAGCGCCGGCAGCCCGUGCCAGACGGGUUCUGGCAGGGAUUCACCCGGGAGCUGCAGAGCUGCUGCUGGCAGGGCAGGGCGGCAGCGCAAGGGGGACCAGCAGAGCUUCACCCCCAGCCCUGGGGCAGAGAAUUCCACCCCGUCCUGCGGGGACAGGCACAGCCUUCCCUCCAUGGUCAGCAGGAGAGCACCCAGAGGUCCUGCUCACAUGGGAUGUUCUCCAGGACGGGCGAGGAUGGGGGCAGCUGGUGGGUGCAGGAUGGUCCCUUGGGCUCCCAGGAGGGUUUCAUGAGGGAUUCUCCAUCCCAGGGAUGUCUCCUGAGGGAUUCUCCAUCCCAGGGAUGUCUCCUGAGGAAUUCUGCACCCCAGGGAUAUUUCCUGAAGA